rnacentral:lncRNA from 1 species
AUACCGGUAAGUUGAAUUAAUCUUUGUAAAUUAUUAUUAUUACAUUUAUUUUAUUACAAUUUCAGUGAAUUACAGUCCAUAGUACAUCUAAGCAAUUAUGCAGCCAAUUGAUAUCAAAAACUCUCCGAUUCCAUUACUCCUAUUCAGCUUUUCCUCUUUGUUUUUUCUUCUUGUGUUUUCUCCUUUAAUGGUGGCAAACACAAAAGGAAGAGAUGCAGGAAAACAUGCACGCUGUAGAAAGAAAGUGAUGUCAUUUCAGUUGGAAUUGAUUUUCUUGCAGAUGAACUGCUAUCUAUUGAUGUAGUGAAUAAUAAUUAAUGAUUUUCUAAUAUUCCAGAUAACUGUUAUGAACUGUUUUAUAAAAUAGUGGUCCAUGUUUACCAAAUGAAGCCUCAUUAUAAGCUAUUGAUACCUUAUGAACUGAUAAAGGAUCAAUUUUGUCAGAAGAGGAUAAAAACAGUCUGUCAAGUAUUUGAACCCAAUCAAUGAAGUCUUUGAGUAUUA